GGAUACAAGGAUGAUCUGGCUGUGACAUCUCUCACCCCACUGAUCACCAGGGGUGACAUGUAUCAGCUGGCUGGCUAGGUGGAUGCUCACUCUCUCUCCCCUCACCACUCCCUACGCGCCCCUUGAAAGGCUGUGUGCUCACUCAGUGGGGACCGGUCCUCUGUCAAGAGUAUAUUAGUAGCUGCCUCUCCUGCUAAGAACAGUGGUUCUUAACCUUCCGAGUGCUUUGACCCUCCUUCCUAGUGUUUGUGACCCCCAACUGUA
rnacentral:sRNA from 1 species